UACGUAGGGGGCGAGCGUUGUCCGGAGUUACUGGGCGUAAAGCGCACGCAGGCGGUCUGUUAAGUUUGGAGUGACAGUUGGUGGCUUAACUGCCAAAGUGCUUCGAAAACUGACAGACUUGAGGGCUUCAGAGGGACACGGAAUUCCGGGGUGGAGUGGUGGAAAUGCGUAGAGAUCCGGAGGAACACCAAAGGCGAAGGCAGUGUCCUGGGGAGUACCUGACGCUCGAGGUGCGAAAGCCAGGGGAGCGAACGG
rnacentral:rRNA from 1 species